rnacentral:rRNA from 1 species
GUGGGGAAUCUUGCGCAAUGGGCGAAAGCCUGACGCAGCGACGCCGCGUGGGGGAUGAAGGCCUUCGGGUUGUAAACCCCUUUCGACAGGGAAGAAGCGAAAGUGACGGUACCUGUAGAAGAAGUCCCGGCUAACUACGUGCCAGCAGCCGCGGUAAGACGUAGGGGACGAGCGUUGUCCGGAUUUAUUGGGCGUAAAGCGCACGCAGGCGGCUUGGUAAGUCGGGUGUGAAAAUCCGAGGCUCAACCUCGGACGUGCACCCGAAACUGCCCGGCUAGAGGUAGGUAGGGGAGAUCGGAAUUCCUGGUGUAGCGGUGAAAUGCGCAGAUAUCAGGAGGAACACCGGUGGCGAAGGCGGAUCUCUGGGCCUUACCUGACGCUCAUGUGCGAAAGCUAGGGGAGCGAACAGGAUUAGAUACCCCUGUAGUCC